rnacentral:misc_RNA from 1 species
AAUGGAAGAGAUACAUCGAAUACUCAUGGAAUCGUGAAUCAUCAAUGAGGAAUCUUGUGUCAAUGGCCAUUAUUGGAAUCCUAUACCGUUGUCAUGGCUUGCAAAUUAUCGUUCCAAUCGCAGAUUGACAUAGAAACUCGCACGUGACAACGUUUAGCCUUUAAUUGACGUUGGUGAGGUGGCGCGCGAUCCAUUGGAGUUAAUUUUUGAAAGAGGAUCGAAUUGGGAAAGCGAGACAAGAGGGUGUCAUUCAACGACUUCGCGGUUGGUAUCAAUGUUAUUAAUAAUUCGAGGAAAAUCCUCGUUACGAGAAGAUGGCGGCUUAGGUUAUACUGUAUGCAUAUGCGUGUCUGACGGUGAUUCUUCCUUCGACGACUGACGAGUCAGUCAGGUCUCCCCAGCCCUCGGUUCUCGGAGUUUCGAGCGAUCUGAGGUCCUGGCCUCAGUAUCUGGUCGGACGUCGGAGCAAUCAGCUAUCCUGUCGCCCCGCCAUCCUGUCGGCAGUCCGCUGCCACUUACUACAGUCCUGCAGUUCUGGAAUACCUCGGGGGAGGCACGGGAUAUAACCGUGGUAUUCGCGUAAUCGUCAGUCGACAGUUCUCGCGACGAGUCGAGUCAUAAAAGUGAAUUCGGGUGAACUGUGAAGUGAGGGGCAGUUGGAAGUGCGUGCAGCGGUGGUGUCAUGUCUCCCACAUCCGAGUCUCGUCCUAUGAGCUAAGCCUAAGCUAUUGAGGAGGAACUAAGGAAGGCUGCGGUUGCUCCCUUUGUGCUAGUUAUACGUUAAAAUUCUAUUAACCUCGAUGAAUCUAAUACGAAAAUCAUCAUCAGGGAGUUUGAGCUGCCACAUCCAAGUAGUGAGGACUUGCUAGCCCAGCUACGGGCUCCACGUUAAGAAGACCUACUGUGUGCUAUUAUAAAAAGCCCGUGUCGAACGUCGAAGGCGUAUUUUAAAGAUGCGCGAAUUCAAGGUAGUUGUGCUCGGCUCGGGCGGGGUAGGCAAGAGCGCGCUGACAGUGCAAUUCGUGUCUGGUCUUUUCAUGGAGAAGUAUGACCCCACAAUAGAGGACUUUUACAGGAAAGAAAUAGAGGUUGACAACUCACCCUGCGUUCUCGAAAUCCUAGACACAGCCGGGACCGAACAAUUCGCGAGCAUGCGUGACCUGUACAUAAAGAAUGGUCAGGGUUUCGUCGUUGUAUACAGUUUGACGAACCACCAAACUUUCCAAGAUAUUAAAGCGAUGAAGGAGCUCAUCACACGUGUCAAAGGCACCGAGCGUGUCCCGGUGCUACUGGUAGCGAACAAACUUGACCUCGAACACCAGCGUGAGGUUUCAACGGCGGAGGGUAACGGACUGGCGCAAUUUUGGGAAUGUCCUUUUGUAGAAGCCUCCGCUAAAAACAGGACCAACGUCAAUGAAAUGUUUGCGGAGAUCGUUAGGCAGAUGAACUUCAGCCCUGAGAAGGAACAGAAGAGAUACUGCUGCUGCACUAUACUCUAAUACUUAAUCAAAACCUUGGCCGAGCAGACUGAACGACGAUAGGUAAUAGUUGUAGGUAAAAUAUAAUAAGGCAUAACGAGACUCGGCCGAGUAGUCACGAGCUGUGAAUUAAGAUUGAGAAGAACGGUGACAAUUAUCACCAUGAUUACCGUGAUUAUGAUGAUGAUGAUUACAAUGCUUACGACUAUGCAUUACAAAUUAUUGACGACCAUGUAUAAACUCAGUGACAAAACUAUUACAUUUUUCUAUUCGGGGUAAGAAGAUGAAGGAUAGAAUGAACAUGAAUUUUGAAGAUGGAGAUCGAGAUGAAUAUUACGUUUCAUAAUCUGAAACUAAUUGUGGGCAAAAGAAGAAAAUGAAAAGAAUAAAAAACAGGAACACAAUGAGAUGAAAAACGAAUCGUCGUAGUUGCACCAGCUUCAAUAGCUUGAAUAUACCGUAGCAACGAGACUGACAACAACGACAUCGACACUGACACCGACAAUUACGACGACAAAAACGUAGGUAAAGAAAAAGAAAAAUUAAUGUGAACCGAAGAGGUGAUAAAUAAACCUUGACUGCCCUUGUGUUUGUUGGAAAUGGUAGCGAACCAUUAACAACAGACCAAACUAGAUAUCGCUCGCUUUCUGCUCAAUGAAAUGAAGUAAACUAAACUACUUAUAGAAAACACUUGACACCCGUUGUGUAUUCGUCCAACAGGGCCAUAUUACUCGCAAAUUAGGUGCUGAACGAAGAUAAAAAUAAUGAAAAAAAAAAAUAAGUAAAUGAAUAAAGAGAGA